AGUUAGAUUAGCGCGUGUCGGUUUCAGUUCUGGACAUCAUGGUACUUUACCUGGUUCUAAGAUAGCAAGCAUGAUGUUCCGAGUCUCGAUCAUUCAAAUUAAGUAUCCAUCAUUGUGAAAUACACCUGACUGAGAGACUACCAAUAUACAUGUUGCACAUGUUGUACAUUGAGACCUUCUUUUCACGAACCAAUUAUAAGUAUUGUAGUUAUAUAAGUUUUUCUGUAUAAAUAUAUCUCUUCUAUUAUUUUUGUGUAAA